rnacentral:snRNA from 1 species
AUACCUUUCUCGGCCUUUUGGCUAAGAUCAAGUGUAGUAUCUGUUCUUAUCAGUUUAAUAUCUGAUAUGUGGGCUAUCGGCUCACACGAUAUUAACUCUUAAUAUUAACUCUAUUUUUUAAGGGAGAAAGCCUACUAAGGUAGUUUGCUAUCUGGGCUUUCACGAGUCGCUCAUGCGUUGCACUACUGCACGGCCUGGCUCAUCCCAU